rnacentral:rRNA from 1 species
GAUGAACGCUAGCUACAGGCUUAACACAUGCAAGUCGAGGGGCAGCAUGGUCUUAGCUUGCUAAGGCCGAUAGCGACCGGCGCACGGGUGAGUAACACGUAUCCAACCUGCCGUCUACUCUUGGACAGCCUUCUGAAAGGAAGAUUAAUACAAGAUGGCAUCAUGAGUCCGCAUGUUCACAUGAUUAAAGGUAUUCCGGUAGACGAUGGGGAUGCGUUCCAUUAGAUAGUAGGCGGGGUAACGGCCCACCUAGUCUUCGAUGGAUAGGGGUUCUGAGAGGAAGGUCCCCCACAUUGGAACUGAGACACGGUCCAAACUCCUACGGGAGGCAGCAGUGAGGAAUAUUGGUCAAUGGGCGAGAGCCUGAACCAGCCAAGUAGCGUGAAGGAGGACUGCCCUAUGGGUUGUAAACUUCUUUUAUAAAGGAAUAAAGUCGGGUAUGGAUACCCGUUUGCAUGUACUUUAUGAAUAAGGAUCGGCUAACUCCGUG